rfam:Candidatus Pacebacteria bacterium RIFCSPHIGHO2_01_FTLL_46_10 rifcsphigho2_01_scaffold_6327, whole genome shotgun sequence.
GGAGAGGUGCAGGGAAUGGUUAUCCGGACAGUCUUGAAAACUGUUGCCGCAAGGCAUUGUGGGUUCGAGUCCCACCCUCUCCG